UACAGAGGGGGCAAGCGUUGUUCGGAAUUACUGGGCGUAAAGGGCGCGUAGGCGGCCUGUUAAGUCGAACGUGAAAUCCCCGGGCUCAACCCGGGAACUGCGUCCGAUACUGGCAGGCUUGAAUCCGGGAGAGGGAUGCGGAAUUCCAGGUGUAGCGGUGAAAUGCGUAGAUAUCUGGAGGAACACCGGUGGCGAAGGCGGCAUCCUGGACCAUUACUGACGCUGAGGCGCGAAAGCUAGGGGAGCAAACGGG
rnacentral:rRNA from 1 species